CCUACGGGAGGCAGCAGUGGGGAAUUUUGGACAAUGGGCGCAAGCCUGAUCCAGCAAUGCCGCGUGAGUGAAGAAGGCCUUCGGGUUGUAAAGCUCUUUUGUCAGGGAAGAAACGGUCUCAGCUAAUAUCUGGAGCUAAUGACGGUACCUGAAGAAUAAGCACCGGCUAACUACGUGCCAGCAGCCGCGGUAAUACGUAGGGUGCAAGCGUUAAUCGGAAUUACUGGGCGUAAAGCGUGCGCAGGCGGUUUUGUAAGUCUGUCGUGAAAGCCCCGGGCUCAACCUGGGAAUUGCGAUGGAGACUGCAAGGCUUGAAUCUGGCAGAGGGGGGUAGAAUUCCACGUGUAGCAGUGAAAUGCGUAGAGAUGUGGAGGAACACCGAUGGCGAAGGCAGCCCCCUGGGUCAAGAUUGACGCUCAUGCACGAAAGCGUGGGGAGCAAACAGGAUUAGAUACCCUGGUAGUCCACGCCCUAAACGAUGUCUACUAGUUGUCGGGUUUUAAUUAACUUGGUUAACGCAGCUAACGCGUGAAGUAGACCGCCUGGGGAUACGGUCGCAGNUUAAAACUCAAAGGAUUGACGGCNGAGAGNGCGAGACGACGACGAGGGAGGAGG
rnacentral:rRNA from 1 species